AUGAUUCACUGAAUUCUGCAAUUCACACUACUUAUCGCAUUUCGCUGCGUUCUUCAUCGAUGCCAGAACCAAGAGAUCCGUUGUUGAAAGUUGUAAUUAUUAAAAUAAUUCAGACGCUGAUUAAAUAUUAAAAAGGUUAUUGGUUUGUCCAUUCGG
rnacentral:rRNA from 1 species